rnacentral:rRNA from 1 species
UCGGGAAUUUUGGGCAAUGGGGGCAACCCUGAUCCAGCAAUGCCGCGUGAGUGAAGAAGGCCUUCGGGUUGUAAAGCUCUUUUGUCAGGGAAGAAACGGUAGUAGCGAAUAACUAUUACUAAUGACGGUACCUGAAGAAUAAGCACCGGCUAACUACGUGCCAGCAGCCGCGGUAAUACGUAGGGUGCAAGCGUUAAUCGGAAUUACUGGGCGUAAAGCGUGCGCAGGCGGUUGUGUAAGUCAGAUGUGAAAUCCCCGGGCUCAACCUGGGAAUUGCAUUUGAGACUGCACGGCUAGAGUGUGUCAGAGGGGGGUAGAAUUCCACGUGUAGCAGUGAAAUGCGUAGAUAUGUGGAGGAAUACCGAUGGCGAAGGCAGCCCCCUGGGAUAACACUGACGCUCAUGCACGAAAGCGUGGGGAGCAAACAGGAUUAGAUACCCGCGUAGUCCCUGAGCGGGCUGGCAAGGCGCAU